rnacentral:rRNA from 1 species
GACGAACGCUGGCGGCGUGCCUAAUACAUGCAAGUUGAGCGAUGAAGAUUGGUGCUUGCACCAAUUUGAAGAGCAGCGAACGGGUGAGUAACGCGUGGGGAAUCUGCCUUUGAGCGGGGGACAACAUUUGGAAACGAAUGCUAAUACCGCAUAACAACUUUAAACAUAAGUUUUAAGUUUGAAAGAUGCAAUUGCAUCACUCAAAGAUGAUCCCGCGUUGUAUUAGCUAGUUGGUGAGGUAAAGGCUCACCAAGGCGAUGAUACAUAGCCGACCUGAGAGGGUGAUCGGCCACAUUGGGACUGAGACACGGCCCAAACUCCUACGGGAGGCAGCAGUAGGGAAUCUUCGGCAAUGGACGAAAGUCCGACCGAGCAACGCCGCGUGAGUGAAGAAGGUUGUCGGAUCGUAAAACUCUGUUGGUAGAGAAGAACGUUGGUGAGAGUGGAAAGCUCAUCAAGUGACGGUAACUACCCAGAAAGGGACGGCUAACUACGUG